rnacentral:lncRNA from 1 species
GCCUCCAAUUCUUCACACGUCUCCAGAUAAAGCCCAAAGAAAAAAGGAAACCAGAUCAAAAGGGUAUCAGAGCUAGGGAAAAAACAAACACACCCGUGCUUGGGCAGCUUUUACUUAAAGCCCUGCAAACGCCUGAUGCUGGAUUGUUUUGCAACACAUGCUUUUCAUACAAUUGCUGAAGGCUUUAGCACUGGAGGAAGCUUUGUCCUUCUCCCAGCACACACACACACACACGUGCACACACACAAACACACAUGCACACAAACGCACGCACGCACACACAGUGCACGUCCACACCCUGUCACGUAGUCCUCCUAACUGCCCUCAGCCUGGGCCUUCAGCCCCCUUCCUUCUGUAGAUCUGGUGGCUUCAGCUGUUUUGUCACUGGAGAGAGGAAACUGGUCGUGCAGAAAGUAGGAGGAGGAGUUACUAUUCAGGAAUACAGAGAUGUGCAUAAAACUCUUCAGCACCAUAGCUGGCACCUUAGCACAUGUUCAAUAAGCAUGUGUUCUAUGAUGAUUACGACCACAACAGAACCUGAGGACGCGUUGGGAGGGCAGUGCCUCCCUGACAGAGCAGCUCAACACCGUGGGAGCGCGGGAACCUCGAAUUCAGAGCCCUCGGACCACCACCAAAGAGCCAAGGGUGAUCACGGCCGGGACAAAGGUCUCCUUUGACCACUUCUGAGCUUUCACCAUGAAACAGAAAUACA